CUUGUUCAUCAACUCUGAUCGUCCUAAUUCUUUGGGUUCUUUCAAUGUUUGUAAGGGUGUACCGUCGAGCGAUUGACGUCCCACAAUCUAAAGGGUUUCAAUCAUUAGCCUUGAAUACAACAAUUAUUGAAGAACUUGAAGGAGUUGCGUUCUUCUCUGCCAAACUUUUCCGGCAAGUGGUUAAGCUUGAACAAAUUCGUGAAAAGAAUUGCGGGAAAAUUAACUUUUUUCGACAUCGAAAACUUCAAUCUUCCAGGAAUUUGAAGGUUCGUUUCAUAGUAAUUUCAAUACAAGUUUUGAGAUUGAAAGCUUGAAUCUUUUACAUAUUUGAACAAGGAUUCAGAUUUUUCUUUUUCUAUUUUGUUGAAAUCUUUACUUUGAUAAGCUGAAGAAUAAAAUUCAGUUUAGUGUUAUGAUUAUUGCAUUCACUUUUUGAUUUUCGCAAUGUUUGUGAUUUCUUGGUAAUGUUUUUGAAAACAUGGGUAUCAUGUGAUAAUGAAGAAUAUGAAAGGUUGUGAAUUCUGCUAAUGUCUUAUUUUUCAGUUAUGUGUUUUUAAUUUAGUUGUAAAAUUUUGUACAUAAGGUUUAUGUAAUUGAUUAAAAUAGUACGUGUGUUUUGGGUUUAAAUGAAAAUAUAAAUUUGUUUACUUGAAUAAUUUGCUAAUACCAUUUAGUAGGUAUCAAGAGAAUGGUUGUGGGGAUAUAAUUCUUGAAGAAGAUAUUUGCUUUAGGAUUAUAAUGGGUAUUAUUAAGGAUUACGUUGAAAGAGUGCCCAAUACCAUGAUAUGUACAAGUCAAAU